ACAUACCUACAUGUAUGCAUUAACAUAUUACCUCUCUUGACACAGACAACAAACCACAUUAUUGUAAGAAAAACUAGGCUAAUAUGUUCCAUACAAUUAUGUGUGUUGCAGCAGAUGAUCAUUCACUAAAAUCAGACAAAACAAACUUUGCAAAGAAUAAAGCAGUAUGUGCGUCUACUGAAAAUAUCAUUGUUCAGGAGCCAAGAAGUGUUACAGUUAGUGAAUCACAACCACUCUCUCAUCCAUCAGAAACUCUCUCAUCCGAAGCAACUACCUCUAACUAUGACAAACGAAAUUUACAAAAUCUCCAAAUUUACCGGCUAAGAAGAAAGCAAAGUCAGGAAAAGUACAACCAUUCAUUAAGUUACACACAUCAUUGAAAGAAAGAGUCAUGUUAGCAUGGUUUGUUGAUGACAAUAUAGCAGCUGCUGCACUACAAAAUCGCAAGACGCUGAUCGAUGAAUCAGACAUCAAAGUUCAGCAAGAAAACAUCUCUAAUGCAGUCCUCGAUGACAAUGUUGACUUGCACAUAAUUCGAAACUUUUUCACCUAUGAUGCCUGGCUACUACUUACAGAUGUUGUCAAGCAGAAACAUAAACAUUGCAGUUAUGUUUGCCAAGUUUGCUUUCACAACUUGGAUGAGGAAGCAUCAAUUUUGUGUGACUAUUGCCUCUUGUGGUCCCACAUGAGUUGUGUUGGUCUUAAAGAAAGACCCAAAUCAAAGUGGUGGUUUUGCCAAAGCUGUCACAAGACUAGCAAAUAAGAUAAACUGGCUGUAGAGGCAACUGUUGCUAUGUAAAAUUAGAAACGUGUGUGUAUUAUGUGCAAGCUAUGCAGUGUUGUUUGACUAUAUAUUAAGAGCAAGAUCUGGCAGAGCAGA